rnacentral:rRNA from 1 species
UGGGGAAUUUUGGACAAUGGGCGAAAGCCUGAUCCAGCAAUGCCGCGUGUGUGAAGAAGGCCUUCGGGUUGUAAAGCACUUUUGUCCGGAAAGAAAUCCUUGGCUCUAAUACAGUCGGGGGAUGACGGUACCGGAAGAAUAAGCACCGGCUAACUACGUGCCAGCAGCCGCGGUAAUACGUAGGGUGCAAGCGUUAAUCGGAAUUACUGGGCGUAAAGCGUGCGCAGGCGGUUUGCUAAGACCGAUGUGAAAUCCCCGGGCUCAACCUGGGAACUGCAUUGGUGACUGGCAGGCUAGAGUAUGGCAGAGGGGGGUAGAAUUCCACGUGUAGCAGUGAAAUGCGUAGAGAUGUGGAGGAAUACCGAUGGCGAAGGCAGCCCCCUGGGCCAAUACUGACGCUCAUGCACGAAAGCGUGGGGAGCAAACAGGAUUAGAUACCCUGGUAGUCCACGCCCUAAACGAUGUCAACUAGUUGUUGGGGAUUCAUUUCCUUAGUAACGUAGCUAACGCGUGAAGUUGACCGUCUGGGGGAGUACGGUCGCAAGAUUAAAACUCAAAUGAAUUGACGGGGUCAUAGCUGUUUCCU